CUUGGCUUCUUCCACUACUAGCAAGUUUGGAAUCGGCUAAUUAGCUUCAGAUUUUUUUUCCUGUCCAUACCAGCUAGUGGGGCUGUUAAAUAGCUGCUUACUGGAAAAGGAAAAAAGGGAGGAUUGGCCUUCUCCCACCUCUGUCAUUGCUGCUAGAUAAUGAUUGACAUGUUAGGACUUGGCUGUGCAAUCCCGCAGUGGUCUGUGAAUACCCCAUCUCUGUAAAUGUUGCUUCUGAACACCAGUACUGAAGAGCUAACUGGGGAGGGCUGGGAGGAGUGUGGCUAGAAGUGAAUCUGGAGUGUUAAAAGGAUGCACAAAGAUAUAGUAUCCCUUAUGCAUGAUGUUUGUUGCUAUGGCAUAGAAAACAAAAUGUGCAUACUAUACUUCUGAGGGCCAUGAUAAAACCCAGGUGGUGGGUUUGAGACUAAACUUGAGCUUCGCCCUGCCUGGUCGGAUCACAUUGUGACCAUGGUGUGAUUUGCCUCCCAACUAGAGGUGUGCACAGAACCUCCUACUGCAUCCCUAGCUGCUGAGCAUUGCAGUUCGCCCUCAGUGUUUGCCCUUACCUAUAGUAAAAGAGUGGGUCUUGGAAGGGAAGAAUCUGUUGGCGAGCAUAAAAGCAGCAGACUGACAGCGCUGACCUCCAGUGUCUUCCUUCGGCUGUUGAAGCACUUGUAGGACUAUCGAACCUGAGGGCUGCAGGAGUCCAGGGACAUUGCACUCCUUCAUGAAGGGGAGGACAGAGGGCAUUACUGCAGGAGACAAGCUAGUGUAAAAUAGUUGAAGUAGCUUGACAAAAUUGUUAAUGCCUUCACAUAAGGGAUAGUAUACCUCUGGCUGCAAUCAAACCUCAUUGUACUCAGACUGGUGAUUUACGGUUUGUGCUCAGACAGGGUGCAGUUCUUCAGUCAACCACCUGCAUAUUCCUUCAUCUCUUUACAAGUGUUUAGGCUAGACUAUUUCUGCCCCUUAUUCUUCCACUUAAGAUUUUGGAAUAAUAUGUAAAUUCCCCCUCAUAACUAAUCAGUCCAUGUAUCUUAAAACCUUAUCUUUAAGUUAGUUUUGAAAUGGACAGAUUUUUCCAUGUAUUACUAUAAUAACUUCUGUUGUUAUCCUUUAGGUGAAGAUGGAAGCUGAGUGAAACCGGAGUGCUCAUCCGUGGGAACUCGGGAGCCGAGCAUGAGCACAUCCAGCACGAUGCCCAGCGAUCUGUGGAGGGGCCAAGAUAACAAGUGAGCAGAAGAAGAUGGAAGUCUGAAUGCAGUGAAGAGAAGCCAGGAACAUAGAGUUUUUAAAAAUAAAAUGCUUUU